rnacentral:rRNA from 1 species
GACGAAAGUCUGACCGAGCAACGCCGCGUGAGUGAAGAAGGUUUUCGGAUCGUAAAGCUCUGUUGUAAGUCAAGAACGUGUGUGAGAGUGGAAAGUUCACACAGUGACGGUAGCUUACCAGAAAGGGACGGCUAACUACGUGCCAGCAGCCGCGGUAAUACGUAGGUCCCGAGCGUUGUCCGGAUUUAUUGGGCGUAAAGGGAGCGCAGGCGGUCAGGAAAGUCUGGAGUAAAAGGCUAUGGCUCAACCAUAGUGUGCUCUGGAAACUGUCUGACUUGAGUGCAGAAGGGGAGAGUGGAAUUCCAUGUGUAGUGGUGAAAUGCGUAGAUAUAUGGAGGAACACCAGUGGCGAAAGCGGCUCUCUGGUCUGUCACUGACGCUGAGGCUCGAAAGCGUGGGUAGCGAACAGGAUUAGAUACCCUGGUAGUCCACGCCGUAAACGAUGAGUGCUAGGUGUUAGGCCCUUUCCGGGGCUUAGUGCCGGAGCUAACGCAAUAAGCACUCCGCCUGGGGAGUACGAACGCAAGGUUGAAACUCAAAGGAAUUGACGGGGGCCCGCACAAGCGGUGGAGCAUGUGGUUUAAUUCGAAGCAACGCGAAGAACCU